rnacentral:rRNA from 1 species
GAUGAACGCUGGCGGCGUGCCUAAUACAUGCAAGUCGAGCGAACGGACGAGAAGCUUGCUUCUCUGAUGUUAGCGGCGGACGGGUGAGUAACACGUGGAUAACCUACCUAUAAGACUGGGAUAACUUCGGGAAACCGGAGCUAAUACCGGAUAAUAUUUUGAACCGCAUGGUUCAAAAGUGAAAGACGGUCUUGCUGUCACUUAUAGAUGGAUCCGCGCUGCAUUAGCUAGUUGGUAAGGUAACGGCUUACCAAGGCAACGAUGCAUAGCCGACCUGAGAGGGUGAUCGGCCACACUGGAACUGAGACACGGUCCAGACUCCUACGGGAGGCAGCAGUAGGGAAUCUUCCGCAAUGGGCGAAAGCCUGACGGAGCAACGCCGCGUGAGUGAUGAAGGUCUUCGGAUCGUAAAACUCUGUUAUUAGGGAAGAACAUAUGUGUAAGUAACUGUGCACAUCUUGACGGUACCUAAUCAGAAAGCCACGGCUAACUACGUGCCAGCAGCCGCGGUAAUACGUAGGUGGCAAGCGUUAUCCGGAAUUAUUGGGCGUAAAGCGCGCGUAGGCGGUUUUUUAAGUCUGAUGUGAAAGCCCACGGCUCAACCGUGGAGGGUCAUUGGAAACUGGAAAACUUGAGUGCAGAAGAGGAAAGUGGAAUCCCAUGUGUAGCGGUGAAAUGCGCAGAGAUAUGGAGGAACACCAGUGGCGAAGGCGACUUUCUGGUCUGUAACUGACGCUGAUGUGCGAAAGCGUGGGGAUCAAACAGGAUUAGAUACCCUGGUAGUCCACGCCGUAAACGAUGAGUGCUAAGUGUUAGGGGGUUUCCGCCCCUUAGUGCUGCAGCUAACGCAUUAAGCACUCCGCCUGGGGAGUACGACCGCAAGGUUGAAACUCAAAGGAAUUGACGGGGACCCGCACAAGCGGUGGAGCAUGUGGUUUAAUUCGAAGCAACGCGAAGAACCUUACCAAGUCUUGACAUCCUUUGACAACUCUAGAGAUAGAGCCUUCCCCUUCGGGGGACAAAGUGACAGGUGGUGCAUGGUUGUCGUCAGCUCGUGUCGUGAGAUGUUGGGUUAAGUCCCGCAACGAGCGCAACCCUUAAGCUUAGUUGCCAUCAUUAAGUUGGGCACUCUAAGUUGACUGCCGGUGACAAACCGGAGGAAGGUGGGGAUGACGUCAAAUCAUCAUGCCCCUUAUGAUUUGGGCUACACACGUGCUACAAUGGACAAUACAAGGGGCAGCGAAACCGCGAGGUCAAGCAAAUCCCAUAAAGUUGUUCUCAGUUCGGAUUGUAGUCUGCAACUCGACUACAUGAAGCUGGAAUCGCUAGUAAUCGUAGAUCAGCAUGCUACGGUGAAUACGUUCCCGGGUCU